rnacentral:lncRNA from 1 species
ACAAAUCUAAGCCUUUUUAUUCAUCCCACAUCUCAAAAACUUACAAACUCUGAAGAAAGAGAUGGAUAAGUCAUCCAUGAAGCUGGUUUUUUUGGUUGUGCUCUUGAUUCUCGUAGCUGGUAUUUAAUUUUUUUUUUCAAUAAUGGCAUUGCUAUUAUAGAAAUGUGAAUAGAUUUAAAAUAUUUGAUUAAUUAUAUGAUUGGACGAUACAAAUAUAUAGGUGAGGUUUCGAACAUUGGAGCAGAAGGAAGAGUUAACCAAAUCAUACCGUGCGUCUGUUCUCCUCGAUGCUUUUGCGCCAGCGGCUUUGGUUGUCUUUGCCCCGAAGAUUUGCCAUUGACUUCCCAUCAACCACACCACGGUCCCAGGGUGUCGUCAGAGGAUCCGCCAAUGCCUUAGAAUUGCAAAAAAUCGAAGUAUUACUGUUAAUUGUAAUGUAUUAAUAAUUGAAAAUGAAAGGGAUUCUGAGGUGAAAUGAGAUAUGGCCAUAGGCGGCACAGGCAAUGCAAUUCAUACGCACGACCGACUCAUGUCAAUGACGAAUAUUGGACGUUGGGUCCGAAAAUGGAUUGGGGAGAGUCGAGCAUAUCUCGGAUAAACCCAGUGACAUAGUCAGGAUUUGAGUCUAGUAGAGUCCAUGUUAUGACGUAGUUUAGUCCGUUCAUACAGUGGUACGAUGACGAAGCAUUGACAGCCAAAGAUCCGCAUACAGAUGACGACCAAACAACCGGAAAUAAGGUGACUCGUUACGAAGAAUAGCGGUGAUCAGUCGAUGGAUGAGGUGAACUUACAGACAUAAGGUAGAUGAAACCAAAGAUUGAAGAAGUACAGCCCUAAAUGUGGCAAUUUUGCGUUCCACAAGCCUAUUUUGUCCAGUGACUUCCUGACAAGAUUAGCGAUAUAUAAUACCGAGACGUUUGUAUAAAUCAAGUAGCCGAUUCGAGGAAUAUUACCUUCGAGGAUCAAUUGAAUGGUAUUAAUUGUCUUGUUGAAUUGAGUGCGAGUCGUGGUAACGAGAUACGGGACACUUGUUAACAAUAGUUUAUAGCGUUACGGGACACUUGUUAACUUGAUAAAUAAAGUUAUGGAAAAGUAAUUUCUUUAAAAAAAAUUAAAGAAAUUAAUGCAAUUCAGAAAAAAUGGCAUUAAUUGUACACAAGGUCAACUUAAUUUGUUUGGUGUCACUUUAAUUAUUCUGUUGAGUAAUAUCUGGUUAAAAAAGUCAAUAGUUAUCUAAAACUCCAUCUCAACUGUAUAUAAAUACAACCAAAUCUUAACAUUUUUGCCCACACACCUCGAACAACUAUCAAGUACUGAAACCUAGCUUUGAAGAGCAGGGAGAUGGAUAAGGCAUCUACGAAGCUGAUUUUUUUGGUUGUGCUCUUGAUCAUCGUUGCAGGUAUUUUUUGGGUAUUAUUGUUAGAAAAAUGUGAAUCCCGUUUUAAAAAAUUUGACUAAUUAUAUAAUCGGACAAUGCAAUUGUAGGUGCAACUUCAAACAUUGGAGCAGAAGGACGAGUAGUUAACCAACAACUCCUGCCAUGCUUCUGUGAUCCUAAAUGCCUUUGCGGCCCCUUUAGGACCUGCAUUUGCAACGAGGAUUCGUCGUUGACUUCCGAACCACACGAAGACCCCUGGAUGCCGCCCAUGAAUCCGCCAAAGCCUUCCGAGUAAAAUUGAAAACAUGUCAUGUAGUCUUGGUUGGGAGGGUACUCGUAACUUAUGUGUUGUAUAGUAAAGUUGUCAAUAAUCCUCUACUCUUACCAAUUUCUUUGUAUUUUGCCAUGGUCGUAAUAAAAAUAAAUUAUGCAAUCGCAGUAAGCCUAUUUUCAUAGAGUCCAGCUAUAAUUAAUUUCGAUCAUGUUCAAGGACGUUUCAAUGACCGUCUUUGAAGCAAUUUUCCGAUCAUCGUUAGAAUCAAUGUGAUAAGGAAAGUUCCCCAAGAUAAUCACCAGUAAAAUGCUUUACAAUAACUAGUUAUAUCGAUAUCAGAAAAGGAAUUGAAUUGGUGUGUUUUGAUGAUCUGCAAUCACUCCUUUUAUAGCUACUUGAUGAGAUCACGGUGAUCAGUUGAGCAUGAAUCAGAUCACCAGUUCUCCCUCCAUCAGCAAUGGCGAAGUCUUUAACAGAAUCGUCAAAUUUCUGUUAAGUACAAACGGUGAUUUUUUGUACCUAGUUUAGACCUGAUAUCGGGCACGGCAACAGAAAAAUUACAAAUCGAUACUCAUCUACUAGAAACAAUUUUAUCUCGCAAGGAUUGAACAAAAAACGUAAAGCAGAAAAUAAAACAUCAUAUUUGUUGACGCUAUUUGGAGAUAGAAAUCUCCUACUCAGCGAAGCCUCAAAGAGGGGAAGGCUAGCCCAAAAUCCACUUUAGGCACAAAAUACAAGAUCGAUUACAAUCAAGAGAUGCAAAUUCCUAACCAAGAACACCCAAAGACCUACAACGAGACAGAUAAUAUACUCGGAGGGUUUCAGCCCCUUUUCAGGCUGAGUUACUCCGGCAGGAUGUUCCUUAAGUAGUGAGCAGAUCACAGACGCGUCACGGAAAUCCCAGAAUCGCUGGUGGCCUCUACAUAUUCUCCAUAGCAGUUAAGAGGAUUCAGAGAGGUAGAGUUUCAAAGGAAAGAAAAUCUUAUUCUCUUCAAACGGCGGAUGUCACUUAUAUAUUAAGUGAGAAGAUUCUACACGCAUCGGUUUACUACCCUACAAAACAAAGAAAAUAUCAAGUCGGACGGUCCAAACAUUUAACCGGAAAAAUAACCGAUUUGGUUUAGGGUUGGUUGCUGCUAAAAUUACAACAAAACCAUUCUUUGAAAGUUUGGAUUAACACUAUGAGUCAAUUGCUAAAUACAACCCAUCAUAUUCAAUAUACUGCCACAAUGCUAGUUUUGCUAUUUAUAACCCAAUUAUAUGCUGAAAAUUAUUUAAGAAUAUUCUUUUAUUUUCUUACCUUGCAUAUAAUUUUUUCUAUGGAAACAGUUUAUAAAAUUACCCGAUAUUCAAAAUGAAUAUUCGUUUAUUUAUAAAACUAUCAUAUUCUUCCAUGGAACCAGUUUUCACACAUUCAAUGCACCAAAAUUAAUAUAAGUCAAUAAUUAUUAAAAAUCCAUAUAUAGAUAUAUAACCAUAUUCUUCAUUAACUAAUUAAGAAAAUCUUAUUCAUUUCCAAAUACCACAUAAUUUACAAUAUAUAAAUCAACCAAACCAAAGCCUUGAAACCCACACAUCUCAAACACUUACAACUAUCGGUACUGCAAAGUUCUAAAGAGAGAUAUCUAUAUAGAGAGAUGGACAAGGCAUCUAUGAAGCUGGUUUUUAUGGUUGUGCUCUUGAUUUUCGUUGCAGGUACAUAGUUUUUUCUUUGGAUAUUAUUGUUCAGAAAAUUGUACUAAAUAUGAUUAAUAAUAUGAUCGGACAAUACGAUUGUAGGUGAGACUUCAAACAUUGGAGCAGAAGGGCAAUUCCUGCCAUGCGCCUGCGUGUCUCCGUGCAUUUGCAGUGGUAUCGGAAGUUGCAUUUGCCCCGCGGAUUUGUCAUUGACUUCCCAAGCACACGACGGUCCCAAGGUGUCGUCAGAGGAUCCACCAUUGCCUUCCCCAUAGAAUUGAAAAAAUUGAACUAUUACCAUUAAUAAUAAUGUAGCCGUAGUUGGGAGAAGAACCUGUAAUUUAUUUGGUUGAGUUAUCAAUCAUGCAAUCAAAGUAAGUUUAUUUUCAGAGAGUCUAGCUAAUUAAUUUCGAUUGUGUUCAAGGACGUCGCGAUGACUGACUGCAUCUUCCAAUUCAUCCUCCUGCUAUCACAAACACGACCCAAACGAACCCGGAACAGGCCAAGGACGCUAGAACAUGAUAUUAGUCUAGAAUGAGUAAAAUCCCUCAAAACUUCUACUCAAAACGAUACUUUAUGCACAAAAAUUUACUUAAAAUUGGGGAGAUGAACGCGCGUAAAGCGAAGGCCAUCAAUAACCGGCCGUCAAUGAAUCAUGCGUUGCAUGCCAAAUGGGGUAGCCCACGAACUCACUCGCCGAUUCCCAAGGUCUUGCGUUCAACCUUCUGAGGGAGACGCUUUCAGAUGAUCUAGUGUUUGUAUUGAACAAUAUUUGUUUCGAUUCGAAUCAUUACUAAUAAAAGAUGCAUGCAUGAGUGAAAAAGAAAUUAUGGAAUAGUUUAUUUUCAAUUAGGUGCAACCGUUUCAUUUAAAACAAAUAUUCAGUCAACAUAUAAUUAAUGCAAUUCAGAAAAAUAAAAAAUGGCAUGCAGUUGCACAAGGUCAACUUUGUUUUCUGUUGAGUAAUAGCUGGUUGAUAUCAAAAUAAAAAUCUGGUUAAAAAAAAAGAAAACUAAUUAUAAAUCCAUAUCAACCUGAGCAUUUCUACCCAAGCAUUUUUACCCAAGCUUUGAAGAAGAGAUAUUUAUCUAGAGAGAUGGAUAGGACACCUAUGAAUUUGAUGAUUUUCUUGGUUGUGCUCUUGAUUUUCGUCCCAGGUAUUUUUUGAGUAUUAUUGUUAGAAAAUUGUGAUUACGAUAUAACAAUGUUCGAUUAGUUAUAUGUUCGAAUGAUGGGAUCGCAGGUGAGACUUCAAAUAAUGGAGCAGAAGGAAGACGUUUGGAAGGAAUACGAGUUAGCCAAACCGUGCCAUGCCUUCCCUGUUCUCUUCCGUGCAUGUGCCUUUUUGAAUACUGUUAUUGCCCGAAAGGAUUCGCCGCAACCACACCACGGACCCGUGGUGCUGCCAAUGGAUCCGCCAACGCCUUCGAAGUAGAAUCGAAAAAGUUGAAGUAUUAAUUAAUAAUGUAGUCUUGGUUGGGAGAGAAACUGGUGUCUAAACUUAUCAAUAAUCCAGUACUUUGUCAAUUUCUCUCUUUUGUAUUUGCUUUAUAUGUACUUGUAAUAGAUUUUCGUGUUUUUUUAGUUCUCAUAUUCGCUUCAGUGACCGAAAAUAGAGUACAAAAUUUGAUUUCAACCUCGUGUGAUGUCCUCAUUUACAAAACGAGUAGAGUUUCAAAAAACUAGUACUACUGAAAAAUUAAAUACAACAUGUUAACAAAACAAAAUGCCCAGAAACAUAGUUCCUACGAAGGUGAUUUAGAGGGCGAAAUUUGUUUGUUUAUGGAGCUCCGGCGACCGAGAAAAUUUAUUGGGAAAUUUCUUGUCCGGUUUCGAAGUUACUGUUUCAAUUUAAAUGUAUGUAAAAUGCCUUUUUUGCCCCUUUAAUAUAGGCCCUUAGAUCUUCUGACUUUAAAUAAGCGAUCCAACAUGGGCUUAAAUGGCCCUUGCUCCUAGCAAUGGAGGCUUUUUCCUUGCUUUUGAUCCGGACUCUUACUAUUAUCUCAUGAAUUUAUUGUAUAAAUAAACCAUCUCCAUCCCAUAAAUUGUUGAGAAUUUCACCGCAACAUCUCUACCCCAUUAAUAAUUUUAUUAAUUAACUUAUUCAACAAUUUCGAACCAUUUUCAUUUAAAUAAUUCUUUAACAAUUUCUAUUUAAUUAUUUAUAUUUUCCUUAAUAAUACUUUCCCUAAUAUAUAAAUGAUAAUUAAUUAAAUAAUAUUUUUGGCCUAUGUUCCAUUUCUAGUAAUUAAUUUCUAAUUUAACAAUCUUGCUAAUUCCACAAACAUUCUUCUAUAUAAUAUUUUUUUCUUACAAGGUAAGCAUUGAGCCUAUAUGCCAUUGCUAGUUAGUUUCCAAUUCAACAAUCUUACUAAUUCAGCCCACACUCUUCCAUUCAAAGCAAUUGCCAAACUUUACUAAUGAAAAUGCUCUAAAAAAGUCAAUAAUAAUUUAAAAUUCAUAUUAAUUGAGAUACUACCAUAUUCUUCCUUAACUAAUUAAGAAAAUUUUAUCCAUUACAACUACCAACAUCUGAAUCAACGAUAUAUAAAUCAACCAGACCAAAACCCUUUCAACUCACACAUCUCAAACAGUUACAACUAUUAGUACUCCAAACCUCUAAAGAAGAGAUAUUUAAAAAGAGAAAUGGAUAACACAUCUACGAAGCUGGUUUCACUUGUUGUGCUAUUGAUUUUCAUCGCGGGUAUUUAAUUUUUUUUCUCUUUGGUGGCAAUAUUAUUUUUUGAAAAAUGUGAAUAUAAUUUGAAAAUAUUUGACUAAUUGUAUAAUCGGACAAUACAAUUGUAGGCGAGACUUCGAACAUCCAAGCAGAAGGAGCAAGAGAUAACAUUUACAUUCCAUGCCUUGUAUGCCUUCCUCCAUGCAUUUGCUUUCUUACAAAAUGUCAUUGUCCCAACGAUUCACCGUUGACUUCCAAACCACACGACGGCCCCAGGGUGUCGUCAGAGAAUCCGCCACUGCCUUCCCAGUAGAAUUGGAAAAAACAAUGAAGUAUUAAUUACUAAUGUAGUCUUGGUCGGGAGAGGAACUUGUAACUUACAUUUGUUUGAAGUUAUCAAUAAUCAAGUACUCUACUAAAUUUCUUCUUUUAUUAAAGUUAACAAAUUGAAAAUGAAUCAAAUUCAUUUCAACCAUGCUCAACUCGUCCUUGUUUACGUACGAAUCUUGCUGGCCAGAUUCGCUGAACAAGUGAUCCGAUGGCCUAUUAUUCUAUUUCGAAAGUGUGGCAUUCUGUCCUGCUUUCUGCGUCGGUACUCGUUUGGUUUGAUGUUGUUUGGAAAUCUCCGGCCAUCAUGAAGCACUGCUUUAUUGUUUGGCUAGCUAUCCAUGGAAGAUUAGUCAUCAACAUUUUGAUUGCUAUCUCUGUUCUUCAGGAUUUAAGUAACAGACUUAAUUCGUUAAUCCGAAUUAUUUAAGGCCCCAAAUAUUUAUUACAAGGUUUAACCGUAGUUGAGCAAUCGCCCUUGUUGAAAUGGAGUCUCUUUUUGUCAAAGAUCACAACCUUGUUUCAAAGAUAACAAUAAUGUAACAGAAAUUCAAGUUAUGGGGGGAGAAGAGUCCGGAGAAUGAAGAGUAAGAUUACGCCUAAUAAUCUUAAUGCAUCAUGGCGUUUUCACUAGAGAAUUUUGAUCGACGUAAGUGGACUUUUUUGACUCAUGUAUUUAUCCCGGGCUGAUUAUUAUUGGAAAAUUUUUUGACUACCUCGUAACUCACAUCCUAUCUCCGUUACUGCAUAGAAAAAUCUUCACCGUUGCUGAGAUAGACGGUGGAGAUUUCGCGUGAUCGCCAAAAUGUACCUUGGCUUUUGUGAUGGGUGUGAGCUUGUAAAUAGGAAAUUUGGACUAGGACCAAUCAAAUGUUUAACGGGGGCUAAUUUAGGAAUAUGAAAAUAAUUGUAUCAGAUUACCUUACAUAUAACAAAUGUUAUGGAAACAAAGGUUAUAGAAUCUACUAUUAUUAUCAUGAAAUUACCAUAUAGUCAACAAUUUCUAUAAAUCCAUAUCAAUAUAUAAAUUUGCUACCAUAUUCUUCUUUCACUAAUUACACAAAUGCCCUCCAUUACCACUCCCCACCAACCAAAUCCACACUAUAUAAACCAACCAAGCCAAAGCCUUUUACCACACACAAUCUCAAAAACCCUUCAUACAAAACUAUCCGAAUAGAGAUAUGAAUAAGGCAUCUAUGAAGCUGGUUGUUUUGUUCGUGCUCCUAAAUUUCAUCGGAGGUACUUAGUUUUUGUGUUUGGAUACUAAUAAUAAUCGUUCGAAAAAUGUUAAUCCGAUUUUUAAAAUAUUAUAUAAAUACAAUUGGGAUGCGAUUGGUUGUAGGUGAGGCGUCCAACAUUAGAACAGAAGCAAGAGUCGACGAAAUCGAGAUAUUAUGCAGAAGACAGUGUCCUUUUCCAAUAUGUCGUUGCAUAAACGGGAACUGUAUUUGCCCCAAGGACUCGCCGGUGACAUCUUCCACGAAGAUGUCGAAAGUCGGAGAGGAAGGAGCUAGAUUAGAUGGUCGUUAUAUAAGGUUUUGCAGCGCUAAUAACUGUCCACCCCCAUGUCAUUGCGACCCUUAUGAUUGCGCAUGCCCCAACCAAUAGAUUGACGCUCAUUAUUCAUCUCUUUCUUUUUAAUGAUUUUUACGUUUAACUCAAGUAUUAAUAAUAAUUCGGAAAAUAAAUGAAAUAUUAAUGUUUUAGUACAAUGGUAUCAUAUGUUUGUAUUUUUUUAUGUGCUGAAUUUGAACCACAGACUUUCGAAUUAUCAAAAUAUAAUUAUAUUACUAGAUUAACUCCAUUUGAACUACAAUAUCAGACUACAUGGAACAUAGAGUUUCUUGAUUUAAAAAUGAUGAGAAUGGAUGUAUGCACGAUGCCCGCUUCGAUUACAAUAAAUGUGUAAUUUACAUGUUUAUUUUGAGAUAUCAAGCCUAAGUUAAAAUCGUUAAGGUAUAAAAUGAGUGGAAAUUUCAACAUGAANNNNNNNNNNNNNNNNNNNNNNNNNNNNNNNNNNNNNNNNNNNNNNNNNNNNNNNNNNNNNNNNNNNNNNNNNNNNNNNNNNNNNNNNNNNNNNNNNNNNNNNNNNNNNNNNNNNNNNNNNNNNNNNNNNNNNNNNNNNNNNNNNNNNNNNNNNNNNNNNNNNNNNNNNNNNNNNNNNNNNNNNNNNNNNNNNNNNNNNNNNNNNNNNNNNNNNNNNNNNNNNNNNNNNNNNNNNNNNNNNNNNNNNNNNNNNNNNNNUAAAAUUACCAUACGAAGAUAUUAGUUUUCUUUUUUCACAUAUUUUCCAUAAUUAUAAUAACAUACAAGGCAAUAAAUCUAAAUUUACCAUAUACAUAAAAGAAUUCAAUACUUUAUCUUGUAUAAACAGAUUUACUACCAUACUUGUUUACAAAAUUAUCUAUAUGCGACGAUAUUAAUUUUCUUUAUCACAUAUUUCCAUUAUUAUAUAAAAUAACAUUCAAGACAAUAGUCCAAAUUUACAAUAUACUUAAAAAACCAAUUAUUUAUUAUAAAUCCUAAUCAAUAGAUUUACUACCAUAUUAUUAUUUAGUUUAAAAAAUAAAAAUACUUUUCAUACUAAUUACCAGCAUCCUAAUCCACAGUAUAUAAAUCAACCAAAUCUAAACUCUCAAUCCACACAUCUAAAACACUUACACAACUAUUAGAACUGCAAAGCUCUAUUGAGAGACAUGGAUAAGUCAUCUAUGAAGCUUGUUUUUUUGGUUGUGUUGUUGAUUUUCAUCGCAGGUACUUAGUUUUUUUUCUUAGAAUACUAUCGCGUGAAUACGAUUUUAAGAAUAUUUGAUAAAUAUGAUUUGACGAUGCAAUUGUUAUAGGUGAGACUUCGAACAUCGGAGCAGAAGGAAGCAGAGUCGACCAACAGGGCACAACAUGCCAAGUCUGCCAUCCACCAUGCGCGUGCUUGAAUGGAAGUUGCUUGUGCCCCAAGCUCGAUUCGCCACCGGAAUUUGGGUGUACUCCUAAGUCAUGUAAACCACCAUGUUACUGCUUUGAUCUUAACUGCAGAUGUCCCUGAACCCCUCAGGAUGCAAGCUUUGAUCUUUACUUGUUUGUCUAGCUAGGUUAUCAAAUAAACUCUUAUCUAUUUUCUCAUUAUCAUCAAUAAAAUGAAAAUGUAGUUUUCUUAAUGACGAAUUCGAAUCAGAUCAGACAGUCUGGCCGAUUCGGUCCGGUUCUGUUUCAGUUACGGACAGUUCAUUUAUAAAGAUCAUGGUUCAAUCACUGCCUCUCCCAACAGUGGCGUAGCCAAAAUUUCUACUAAGUGGGGUUCAUAACCAUAAAAUAUAAGAAAUAUGAAAGAAAAUUUUGAAUAUAAAUACUAAAGUUUCAUGCAAGAUUAGGAUCGGAACAAGGAUUAAAAUAUGCAUGGAGGUUGAUUUGAAAUAUAAACAACUUAGAAAAAUUGCAGGGCAAAAUGCAAGUGAUGAAGGAUAUAUAACUUAGAAAAACAAAGUUCAAGGCCAGAACCAAAAGACUACACCAUACUUCGUUAUUUUUCAAUUAUUAUUAACUCAGAAAAUACAAUGCAACUCCACGAUCAUAGAAACAACUCCCGACAAUGUAGAUGAUGAUCGAGCGUCGAUCGAUCGAUCGAGCUACUGGGAAGGAAGCGGUGGCUGCAUUAAUUCUCCGUUGCAUCUGCAAGUGAAAUCCAAGCAGUAACAUGGAUGUUUACAUUUAGCUCGGUCACACACGGCCACAACUUCUUUUCCUUCUGCUCCGACGAAUUUCGACGUCCGGGAAAUCAACGACGAAUCAUCCUUAGGGCACAAGCAGAUUCCGUAGAAGCAAUGGCAUGGUUUAUGGCAGCGUUUUCUGCAUAUUGCGUCCUCGACCGAUCUUCCUUCUGCUCCGAUGGUCCACGUUGUCCCGCCUAUACCGUCACAGUUCAAUCAUAUUACUAUAUUAGCCAACUGCGGAAAAAGGGUGAGCCAACCUAGAUUACGAUGACUAGGAGUCCCUUAGAUUUCAAAAUGAUGAAAAUCGAUGUGAUUUUUUCAAAAUCGAAUGGCUUUUGUUUCAUGACGAUGAACAUCUUCCACUUUGUGACGUCUUUUUGGUAUAAGUAAAUGAUAUUAUUAACAGGAGGGUAUGUUCCACCAAGAAUGAAACACAAACUCAAACAAAGACAAUCAACAAACAAGCGGGCUGGAGAAAAACUACCAACCGUACAGUAACACAAAUCAGACCAAGAGAGGGUUUGGGAAACGAAAGAAACAGAAACGGGAGCCCUGAACACAAGCAGCAGCUAACCCCAUACCAAAUGUAGGGGUUGUCGAUUUUUAGCCCGAAUACUUUUUAAAGCAGACUAGAUAUACGUGCUACAAGAGGACACUGAAGUGUGCGCUCUCCGACAUUCAAACCUGGGAAAUCGACGGAGCUACCACCUCAUCUACACCCUGUUCGCUGAAAUUGAAAAUUUUAUUUCCCGAAUUUGAUAUUAAUUGACUUUUAAACUUGCUAUCCUGGCUUACCGGUAGCGAACACCAAGAGAACGACAACGAAAGCUAGUUUCGGCGAAGAGACAGCCAUUUUUACACCAAGCUUUGGUUGAGUUUUUUGUUUCCUUUUCUAGUUGUUGAGAUGGUUGUGUGCAUUUGGUUUGGUUAUAUAGGACGAUUGGUUGUAGUCAUGGUUUCUCUUCCCAUACCAAUAGAUGAAGAGUCUUUAGUUGUUAAGAAAUUUGUUGAUAAGAAUUAAGAGCUAUAGUGUAAUAAAUACAUAAAAUUGCAGAGUAUCUAGAUAUUUAUGGCGGAAUUGAAUGCAAGUUUGUUUGACUAUAGACAAUCUAGAAAGACUGAAGCUUACAAUGAAUGACAAUGCUUGCUCUAUGAGGAUCAUCCAGCCGCCGGCAGAAGUACUCCGGUUAGAUACUGGCCAUUUUUCGUAACUAGUUACAUUCAGCGAUAACUAAUUACGUACAUUAAACGAUAACUUGUUACGGACGAUUAUAAUUAGUUAUAAUGGGUUUGGACCCUCGCCGGCGUUUGAUUGGCGAUUAUAACUAAGCUAAUUAUAUGCAAAAAUGAUAUCGGCACCAAAAAAAUUAUGAGUUUAUACAGAGUCCAUAUUCCUUGUAUAACAUCUUUGUAUAAAGCUUGUGUACGUAUAAACGGUAUAUUUGUAUACAGUUAGGAUAUGGAUAUUGAGUUCAACGAAGCAUAUUAAAUGAAUGAAAAGAGUGUUUUGUUAUUUAUUUAUGUGUUUUAUUAUUUGUUUAUUGGAUAACUUAUCCUGGAUUUACCAAUGCUCGACAUGUUGGUUGGAAAGUUGUCCGCCGGUCGCCGGAGGUAUAUUGGGUGACGUGGCAAAAAAUAAACAAAUUUGUAAUAUUAAAGGAAAAAUACAUAUUUUCAUCCGUGUAUUAUGUAAAAUUUACAUUGACAUCCUUUUAUUAAAUUUUAACAGAUCAGUCUUUUUAAAUUUUAACGGUUUUAAUAAACACNNNNNNNNNNNNNNNNNNNNNNNNNNNNNNNNNNNNNNNNNNNNNNNNNNNNNNNNNNNNNNNNNNNNNNNNNNNNNNNNNNNNNNNNNNNNNNNNNNNNNNNNNNNNNNNNNNNNNNNNNNNNNNNNNNNNNNNNNNNNGAAAAUAAAAAAUUUUUUUCCUUUUAUAAAAAUGCGAAAAUAAUUCCAAAUUAUGAGCCGUUAAAUUUGUGAAACUUUAAACUCGGUUUUAAAUGCCUAAAUCCCAAACUCAACAAACAAAUUCAUGAUUCAACAAUUAUUGUUUCCUUUACAUAUAUGAAGAAAUUAAUAGGGAAAUUUGAUUUUAAAAUGGAAAAAAAUAUUAAUAUUAGAUUUUAUACCAUUUUUUUUGUUGACGUCAGAUUUUAUACCAUAUUAUUCAUGUAGUUGAGCGGGGAUGAUAAUAAUUAAUUAAUUAUCCUUUAUGGUUUAAUUAUUCACUUAUAAAUUUAUCAUCCUAGAUGUCAAGCCACCAAGUACUAAUUCCAAAUCAUUUGGUACCAAACUCAUAGGAGAAAAUCACAAAAUAAACCAGAGAUGGUGGAAUGAUAUAUAAUUAAUUACCUUAGUGGUCUAGUUAUUUACUUACACUUCAAACUAUUAUAUAAACCAGAGAUAGCAAAGGAGAGCAACACAUCAAGCACUUCCAAAAUCAUUUGGUACCAAACCCAUAUAUAGGAGUAAAUUACAAAAUAGUCCUUAUAUCAAAUAUGGAGAAAACUUAUUGAAGUUGGUCUUUUUGACCCUUAAAUUCUGUUAAAUUUAUGACUCGAUAAACCUUCAAUUCAAAUACAUUGUGAUCUGUAACUCGAUAUAUUAUAACUCGUGGUAGGUGGGAACAUGAGGAACAAAGUUGAAGCUAGGGUUAACUCAGACGACCUGCUGCCAUGCAAUAGCUCCUGCGUGCCGCCGGAAUGUUAUUGUCUCGCAGGGUUAUGCCAUUGCAAAGGAGUUCAACAUUCUCUGGUCGCCGGCAACCUCGUACCAACUCAUGAACUCAUGAACUCAAGAAUUAAUUAAUUUGUAAUUUAUGAAUUACAAACUUACAAGUAGUAUAGAUGGACACAUGUCUGUUAUUGUGUUCAUUUAUAUUAUUUAAAAUUUCUAUAAUAAGUAAAAUUAAAUAACAUCUCAUUGGUCGCAAUCGAUUAUUUGCUUACAUCUAAAAUAGUGGUUGAUUUUGAGCAAAUAAUUCUGGUGGUGUACCAAUAUUCAUGAAAGUAUUUUUUUCAAAUAGAGGUAAUAUUAAUUGGGUUAUGGGUUAAUUGAAUUAUGAGUUAAUCGGGUUUUGGGUCGCCACAGGUUAAGUAAACCACCACAUGCAUGCAAAAAGUAAGCCAAUUUGAAAAUUUUCAACACUAACAUAGCACUAAAAGUUUUAAUUUAUAACUUCAUUUGGUCAUUAUUUAUAGGGGUUACCAUACUUUUUUCAAAUUGGCUAAUAUUUCAUAUGCAUGUUGGAAAUGGCUAAAAAUCCAAAUUUCACCAUGUUAACCCCUCCAAAUAAUAGUCAAAUGGAGUUAAAAAAUAUUUUCUCCGAGACUGUAUGGUAAUGAUGUUAUGUUUUAGUAUUGAAAGUUUUCAAAUUGGUUAAUUUCUUGCAAGCAUCUUGAGAAAAACUAGAAAUAUGUUGAUAUAUAUAAUUAUGCGCCUGUUAAUUCACAAACAUCUGUUUGUCACUGUACAAAGAAAACCUUUCAGGAUGAAGAAGUAGAUCACACUCAAAUUUCGAAGACCUUCAAGCACUUGAAAAUCGAGUUGUAUUUGUUUGUUGAAAAUGAAAGGUCUUUUUUGAAUGGUUUAUUUUGGAUUUGUCGUCUUAGGUUAUUCACCGUAGUUGAUAUGAACCAUAUAAAAGGUGGUGGUGUUGAGAGUCACUAAAACCUUUCACUAAAACCGAACCAUAGAGAAGGUGGUGUUGUUGAGAGUACUCACUAAAACCGAACCAUAGAGAAGGUGGUGGUGCUGAGAGUAUUCACUAAAACCAAGUAUUCAUGAAUUUGACUUCAGGGUAUUCACUAAAACCUUUCACCGAUGACAGUGGGAGAAGAGGGUUUAAUGAGCAUCGGAGUUGGGUACAUCAACUCAAAGACGUGAAGAUGAUAAAUGAGCCAAUGGGUACGAGUCCACCGCAAAAUUGCUUCGAACGAACUUGGUAGUAAUAUAUUUCAUGUAAGCUUAAUAAAUCUGUAGAAAGUUCAUCGGUUGUUACACCGAUCUAGAGAGAAAGGUGUCAUUGUGGCUCGAAUCUUUUUUAAGGUCGCAAACCCAUAAGUCGUAACUUAGUUCUUUUGUCCGAAAAGAGGCUACUUAUAUAUUAAAACUCUUGGCUAAAGAUGUUCGUCCCAUCAAACGAACCCUUAGGAAGACUACCACCCAUAACAGGUAAACCCCGGCAGCACAAAGAGUUAGCAUAUGUUAAUACAUUCGUGCUAUCAGUCAUCCCAAAUAACCAAACCUUGAACGGAGACUUUCAACUCAGGCGCCGAGAACAACCAGACAACGAAAGCAAGAAAACAAUAAAAGUUCAAACCAAAAAAAACAUCUGAGACUAAGAAAACAAUAAAUGACCGGUGGAGCCCGUACUGGGGACACCCAAAACAUCAAACACUCAGAGGUCGAUCCCUCGAGUGAGUUCUUGUCAACGAAUCACUUCUUGUAGUAGGGCCUAUUGUUCAAGCCUGCAGUUACUAGGUUUUUUGGGUGUUCCUGGAUACCCACAAAAGUCACUAAAUGUCCUUCUUCGUCUAGCUGCAGACCGUCCGCUCUUCGGUCCAUCGCAUCAUCUUCACAUUUUGACAUAAUCAUCUCCAUCGUCGAUCCGCGGUUAAGAAAAGAAAGAAAAAACUCUAGCCAUCACUAUUGUAAACCCUAAUAUAUAGGGAAAACCUCUAAAAAGAAGGAAUAUUAAAACAUGAAUCACAACCUUAACAUUGAUGUCGUUAUUUAGACCUCGUUGUAAUCGUCUACCCGUCAACUGCCAGCUGGCAGAGUAACCCCGCCUAAAACAUUUAGUAAAGCAUUUUAGUCGUAACUUAGUUCAGUUUCCAUUUGAUUGGCUUUUUAAUAAUUACUUCACAAAAAAUGUCAUCUAAACUAGGCAAUCCUGGAUAAAUUUAUUUAAAAUUUACUAAAAUUUUAAUGAAUGAAACUAGGAAUGCAAAUUCAUAUCAAACUUUGCGAAGGAUAUAUGUUUUCUUUUUUUUUUAUUUACCUUAUAUAUUCUAUUGGAAAUUUAUAGGAAGGAAUCAUGCAAUUUUUAUUUCCUUACGUAUAAUGAAGCUAAAUAAGGCAAAGAGAUUUUAAAUGGAACAAAAUAUUUUGUUAUCGAUCAUACUAUCCAUGUAAUUGGCUGAAUAAUAUUAUGGGUCGUUUGGAUAAAGGAUUUAAAUAGAUAAAUUGAAGAUGAUUUAGACCUAAAUGAAUAUUUGAUCCCAUUAUCUUUUUGGGCUAACUAGGUGAUAUGAUUAUAAAUAAAUUGAGACGUUUUCACUUUUUUCACUCAAAAUCAUCAACUCAAAUAAAUAUAUAAUAAAGGGAAAAAAACUAAACAUUAUCCCCCAAAUUCUAGAUAAGCAUGCACAAAGUUAUUUAAUAUAUUAUAGACAAUUUGUAAAUGAAAUUAGGAAUGAAAAUUAUUGCGGAAAUGAAAAAUUUCUGAAGGAUAAGUUCUUCUGUAGUUUGAAUUGGAAAGUUAUAGCAAGGAAUGUAUACUGAAGAAGCUAAUAAGGCAAGAAAAAUAUUAACCUUAUAUUUUUUUUAUCAUAAUAUUUAAUUACCUUUAUGGUUCAAUUAUUUAGUUAUAAAAUCAAUUAUCCUAGACAUCAUCAUCAUCAUAUCCUAAUUAUCAAACAUGGACAAAGCUUCCUUCAACUUGAUCCUUUUUGCUGUCCUCUUGGGUCUAGCUCAGGCCGACCUUGCUCGAAUCAAACACGACCUCUGCGAUGACUCCCCCUACGUAUACCGUCCCUCGAAGGAGCUUCCUCGUGGCCGUUUCGAAUUCCCCAAAGGGUUCAUCUUUGGAACCUCCACAUCUUCUUAUCAGGUUAUUCAUUACUUCACUGUUUAAUCCUAAACUUGAGUACCACUGACCUAGCUAAUAAGUACUCCUUUCCUCUCGUUCUUUUCGCCUGCACGGGGAUGAAGAUCGAAGGCGCUGCAAAUUUCACGUACGGAAAGGGUCCGAGCGUCUGGGAUAGAUUUACUCAUGACUUUCCAGGUCUAUUCUAGUUGGAUGAAACUUACAUUUUUCGAUACGUUACAGAGAUUAAUCGAUAUGUUACACUGAUUAAUCGAUGUUACAAUUAUUUAUUUCCUUGUAGAUAGGAUUCUGGGAGGUGGUAAUGGAGAUGUGGCGAUAGAUUAUUAUCACAGGUUCAAGGUAUAUAUAUUUAUUGGGGUUUUAAUGACAUCAUCAAUGAUAAUCAACCCUCCCCUGUAAUAAUAUAACUAGUUAUAUUUGCUGUAACAGGAAGAUAUAGUGAGAAUGAAGUAUUUGAACAUAGAUGCUUACAGAUUUUCCAUCUCUUGGUCUCGAAUCAUACCGUGUAAGAACGAUUAUUCAAUAAUUACAAGUCGUAUUGUUUCAUAUUUUACUUAUAUCUAAAGUUGAAUAUCCAGCUGGCAAGAGAAGUGAUGGAGUUAAUAGAGAAGGAAUCGAGUUUUACCAUAGGAUCCUUGAUGAUCUCAUUGAGCAUGGUAAAAAUAUUAUUUUGAGUGAUUGAAUUACCAAUUUGGGUAAAUUGGAUUAGUGUUCUUGAUCAUCAAUGCUGCUUGUGUAUGUAGAAAUCAAGCCUGUUGUCACAAUAUGGCACUGGGAUACUCCUCAAGGUCUUGAGGCUGAGUAUGGUGGCUUUUUAAGUCGCGACAUUGUGUAAGUUGAUGUACUGAAACGUGAAUUUGAUUUCGAGCAAGUACGUAAGGGGUCGUUUAGUGAUUAUCAUCUUCGAUUCUUGAAUUAUGCAGGAAAGACUUUGAGGAUUACUGUGACGUAUUGUUUCAAGAAUAUGGUGAGAAAGUAUAUAAGUGGAUAACUUUGAACGAGCCUCAGGGUCUCUCAGUGAAAGCGUAUGAUGAAGGAGUUUUUGCACCUGGACAUUGUUCUGCAUGGGUUAAUAGAAAAUGUCUACUUGGAGAUUCCGCAACUGAACCUUAUAUUGUUACACAUAAUCUUCUUCUUGCUCAUUCCGCCGUUUACCACUUAUACAAAAACAAGUAUCAGGUUUGUUUUAUUUUCCAAUUAAUAUUUCUGUUGUUGAAAAUAAAAUAGAGAGAUUACUUUUAAAUUUUUUUUGUGAAAUUCAUUUUAUUUGCAGAAUCUUACCGCAGAAAUAGGAAUUACCCUUAUCACAUAUUGGUUCGUUCCUUACUCUAAUACAACAGAAGACAUUGAUGCUGCCCAAAGAGCUUUGGACUGGAUGUUUGGUUGGUGAGUAGUCUUUUAAUUUCUUAUAUAUAUAUUUUCAAAUUACAUCCCAAUUUUUUUUCAUUUUUAGGAAACUAAAUUCAUUAUUUUGAAUGCAGGUACAUGGAUCCAAUAACCUAUGGACACUAUCCUAGAAUCAUGAUAGAAUUAUUGGGAUCUCGUUUGCCGAAAUUCACAGAAAAUGAGUCACACUUGCUUAAAAAGUCAUAUGACUUUUUGGGCCUAAAUUAUUACACUGGUUACUAUGUUAGGAACAAUGAUAAUUUUGAUCAUUCUCAUCUUCGAUAUGCAACAGAUAACCACGGCAUUACUACACGUAUAAUAUUCAAUAUCCCAAUUAUUUUUAUAAAUCUAUUUGGUUCUUCCAUAUCAUUUUCAAGAUAAAACUUUUAAAAGUUCUAAUGAAGAUUUUUUUUUCCUUGAUCAGCUGAUAGAGACGGACAAUACAUCGGACCACAUGUAUGUGAUAAACAUGCUCAAAAUAUAUAUUACUAGUUGAUAACAUAGAAUUGAUUAAAUAAUUGAUGUUUUUUUUUCACGCAGUUGGGUUCGUACUGGCAUUAUCUAUAUCCCGAAGGUUUGCGAGUGCUAUUGGAGUACACUAAGGAAAAAUAUGAAGACCCCAUUAUUUACAUUACCGAAAGUGGUACAGAGUUAUAGCGAAAUUAUAUAAUGAUGCAAAUAAAAGUAAUUAACUAUUUGAUUAUGUAAUAUUAAUUAAUUGAUGAUCAGGAUUGUCGAGGAAGGACAAUGCUACACAAACACUUGAAGAGGCACUAGAUGACCAAAUCAGGAUUGGUUUUUACAACAGUCAUCUUACAAGUGUGAAGCAAGCCAUGAUGUCAGUACUACAUACAUACAGUUUCUUGUUUAUAUAACAUUAAUAAGAAUAACAUAUGAAUAUGUCUGGAAUGCAGCGAGAAGCAGGUGAACGUGAAAGGGUUCUUCGCAUGGUCGUAUAUCGACAACUUCGAAUGGAACGAAGGAUACACAGUCAGGUUCGGGCUGUACUACAUUAACUACACCGAUCUCUCCGUACACCCCAAGUACUCUGCAUGCUGGUUCACCAAUUUUUGCAGCAAAUCCCGACCAAAGUCUUUUGAUUACUUUGAUCUUGACAAGCUCAUCGCUACUCGUGCUUCUCCCGGUGGCCGUCGGGCUCUCUCCUCCGUCGAACAAUAAGAAGAAUAAAGGGAAAGAUAUCUGAGUCUCUGGUCAAUCGUGGUGAAAAUAUACAUGUAAGACAUGCAUCAAGGUCAUGACUAGGAUGGUGUCUUGGUUAAAUAACUAUGUAUACUGUGUGUUAAUUAUACUACAUAAUUUCAGUUGUGUGUGUUAAGAAUAAGCUACUGGAGUUUUCUGUCUUCCUGGGUUGUUUUAUUCUGGUUCCCCUGGAUUUGCUCCUUCUGUGUGUAAUAUUUGAAAAUUUUGUAAUAUUUGCAAUUGCAAUUUCAGAGAGAGAUGAAAAAAUUGGCUUGACAACGGGUGGGUACGUAAACAAAUUUAAUAUAUUUGUCACCCACUUAUAUAGUUUCUGGAUUGUACUUGCCUUAUCAAAUGGUUUCCGUACAUAAAUGGAUAUAAUAUUGGAACCAUUAUCAUUUAUUUACGGAUUUUAAGUUAAAAAAUUAUCGACCACUCAGAAAACUAGACCAAAUAAAAAACGCGUUCGUAUAAUAUAUAAGGAAUCCUUCUCAAAUCUUAUAUUUGUUUUCUAGGGUAAAAGGAUCGCACAUAGUUUAGCUAAAGCUAAAAAAAAUUCGAAAAAAGAAAAGGGAUAGGAGAAAAAAAA